GUGCCCACUUCGGCAUCACAUAUACUAAAAUUGGAAGGAUACGGAGAUUAGCAUGGCCCCUAUACAAAGGAUGACAUGCAAAUUCACGAAGCAUUCCAUAAAAGA
rnacentral:snRNA from 1 species